rnacentral:lncRNA from 1 species
CAGGGCCCGGGGAGGAGCCAGGACCCCGGGCGGGAGAAAAGAGACUGAGGGGCGUGCGGCACAAAGAGCUUUUUAUUUAAAUUUGUUUAGAGUUUGGCGAAUUUGCAUGAAAAAUGUGUGAGAAAAGCCAGCUCCGGUGACCUCAUCCGCACCUGCCAUUAACGUUCAAUUAGCGGUUGAAUAGAGGCGCCGACGCGACGUGCAGAGAAUCCGGCGGGCCCCGCGGAGCCACGGCUGCGGGCCGGGCCCAGGGUGGGGUGGGAGUGGGGGGGCGGGGGCCGACUCCUGCGAGCCGGAGACGCUCGCCUCGUCCGCACCCCAACUCUCUGAGGGGACGUAGGAACCACAGAGCCCUCGAGUCCAAGGCGGCAUGGGGCGCAGCAGGGCCCGGGGCACCUGGGGAUGCCAGGCUCCCUCCUGGCGCUGAGGAGGGCAGGCUUGCCCCCUCCCCAGGAUAGGAGGUGGAUGGAUGAGCCCCCGUCCUAGCUCAGAUGGGUUCCCUCGCCACCUUCCGGACAAAGUGUCAAGUACAAGUUCAAGUUCAGGGCCAGGCCCGGGGGGGUGGGGGGCAAGCCUUCUCCCGCCGCCUUUGUUCUUGGAGAGAAUCACUCCUAAGUCUCCUCCGGGCGGGGCCCGGCCAACGCCCCCGCCCCGCCCCGUGGUGCCCAACUGGGGCCGCCUCCUCCCGCCCUCGCGGCGCCUGUCCCCUGGUCCCGGCGCCCCCGCUCAGGGCCACCGAAGGGUCUGGGGACUCGGGGAGGGGGGAGGCGCGAUCCGGGUCCGUGGGAGCCUCCCCAGCCCCGCAGUCCCAGCAGCAAACCGAGCGUUGUCGGACGGAUGCUCGCGCGGAGGUCCAUUUCCAGAGCGUCUCUGAGGAAGAACAAGACAGAGAAUUCCUGGUUCAGUCCCUGGAGAAAGUCAACAGGGCAGCGAGUUUCUCUCCCUGGUGCUGCUCUGGAAGGAGGACUCAGUGGGUGGCUGCCUGGAGCCAUCAGGGAUGUGGAAUUGCCUGCUUCUUCAUGCCAAAGAGAGAAGAUGAAGGAAAAGGCUCCAGCCAAUCAAUGAACAUGCACUCCUUACCAUGGCAAAUGGCACUGACUGGCUCAGACCAGCCAUUCCCAACCCCAUCAGCCCACCCCUCAAAUUACUAUCCUCAUAAAAUCUGUAAAAAAUAGAACCCACUUACACAUGUAAUUGCAAAAACAUUAACGCAAUGUAUAAAGGAAACAUCAAAGGAAAUGUACAGUAAAAUACAUUUAUUUCAAGAUAUAUGCUCAGUAUUUGUCAAGUUUUUUGUUUUGGGUUUUUUUGUUUGUUUGUUUGUUUUGCUUUUUGGGGCUGCACCCACAGCAUAUGAAAGUUCCCAGGCAAGGGGUUGAAUUGGAGCUGCAGCUGCCAGCCUACACCGCAGCCACAGCAACUCAGGAUCCCAGCCUCAUCUUUGACCUACACCACAGCUCAGGGCAAUGCCAGAUCCUUAACCCACUGAGCAGGGCCAGGGAUCCUAGUCAGGUUCGUUAAAUGCUGAGCCACAACGGGAACUCCAAUUUGUCAAGUAUUUCUGAUUCUAGAGUAUUCUAGAGGACAUAAUGAAACAAUCAGAUGCCUUCACCUCCACAGACAAUUUUCACAGGAGUUCCUGUUGUGGCUCAGCAAUAAGGAACCCGACUAGUGUCCAUGAGGACGCAGGUUCAAUCCCUGACCUCACUCAGUGGGUUAAGGAUCAAGUGUUACUGUGAGCUUCAGUGCAGGUCACAGACACAGCUCAGAUUUGGCAUUUCUGUGGCUGUGGCAUAGGCUGUAGCUGCAGCUCUGAUUCGACCCCUAGCCUGGGAAUUUCCAUAUGCGUUGAGUGUGGCCCUAAAAAGACAAAAAAGAAAAAAAAAAUUCCACAAAUAUGGCAGUGAUGCAGCAAAGGAAACCAUAAAAAAAAGAAAAAGACAACCUAUGGAAUGGGAGAAAAUAGAUUCAAAUGAUGCAGCUGACAAGGGCUUACUCUCUAAAAUAUACAAUCGACUUAUACAACUCAACAGCAAAAAAACCAAAAACCCAAUUGAAAAAUGGGCAAAAGAGCUGAAUAGACAUUUCUCCAAAGAAGAUAUACAGAUGGCCAAAAAGCAUAUGAAAAAAUGCUCAACAUCCCUCAUUAUUAGAGAAAUGCAAAUCAGAACUACUAUGUGGUACCACCUCACACCAGUUAGAAUGGCCAUCAUUAAUAAGUCCACCAACAACCAAUGCUGGAGAGGGUGUGGAGAAAAGGGAAUGUUCCUGCACUGUUGGUGGGAAUGUAAAUUGGUAAGCCCACUAUGCAGAGCAGUAUGGAGGUACCUCAGAAAACUAAAUAUAGAACUACCAUAUGACCCAGCAAUCCCAUCCUUGGGCAUAUAUCCAGGCAAAACUUCCCUUGAAAAAGAUGAAUGCACUCAUAUGUUCACUGCAGCACUAUUCACAAUAGCCAAGACAUGGAAAUGUCUAUUGACAGAUGAACNAAUAUAGAACUACCAUAUGACCCAGCAAUCCCAUCCUGGGGCAUAUAUCCAGGCAAAACUUCCCUUGAAAAAGAUGAAUGCACUCAUAUGUUCACUGCAGCACUAUUCACAAUAGCCAAGACAUGGAAAUGUCUAUUGACAGAUGAACAGAUUAAGAAUAUGUGGUAUAUAUACAUGAUGGACUACUAUUCAGCCAUGAAAAAGGACAAAAUAAUGCCAUUUAUAGCAACAUGGAUGGAACUAGAGACUCUUUAUACUGAGUGAAGUUAGUCAGAAAGAGAAAGACAAAUACCAUGUGAUAUCACUUAUGUCUGGAAUCUAACAUACCGCACAAAUAAACCUUUCCACAGAAAAGAAACUCA